GACGAACGCUGGCGGCGUGCCUAAUACAUGCAAGUUGAGCGAUGAAGAUUGGUGCUUGCACCAAUUUGAAGAGCAGCGAACGGGUGAGUAACGCGUGGGGAAUCUGCCUUUGAGCGGGGGACAACAUUUGGAAACGAAUGCUAAUACCGCAUAACAACUUUAAACAUAAGUUUUAAGUUUGAAAGAUGCAAUUGCAUCACUCAAAGAUGAUCCCGCGUUGUAUUAGCUAGUUGGUGAGGUAAAGGCUCACCAAGGCGAUGAUACAUAGCCGACCUGAGAGGGUGAUCGGCCACAUUGGGACUGAGACACGGCCCAAACUCCUACGGGAGGCAGCAGUAGGGAAUCUUCGGCAAUAGACGAAAGGCUGACCGAGCAACGCCGCGUGAGUGAAGAAGGGUUUCGGAUCGUAAAACUCUGUUGGUAGAGAAGAACGUUGGUGAGAGUGGAAAGCUCAUCAAGUGACGGUAACUACCCAGAAAGGGACGGCUAACUACGUG
rnacentral:rRNA from 1 species